GAAAGCACCAGAGUCCCCUCCCCCACCCCUCCUUGCCCAAAACUUCAACUUCCAAGCAUCCUUGAUUCAUUUGGAGUAGGAGUAGCGCUUUGGGGCAAUGGGGUAAUUUGGCCCACCGGGGGUCCUUUUGACUCCGACCUAAUUCCGCCGGUCCCCGGUCUCCCAGCCUUCCCACACCGCCUCCUCAAAUUCCGAGAGCUGGCUCGGAGAAACGGCGAGGAAUUCCCCAGGGACUGCCCGGCCAGCUUGCCCGCCGCUCCCCGCGCGGUCCCAGAUGCACGGAGAACGCGCGGAGCUCCUACAUCUGCGCAGAGACCCGGGGUGGGGUAGCCGCGGGGUGGGCGCUGGCCACAAGGAGUCCGGGGUGCGUGGCCGUUGCCGAGAAAAGCUUUCGGAAGAGGCAAGAGUAUUCCAGCACAGGGACGUCGACAUGAAGAGAAAGGUGGACGCAAACUCGGUCAUUCAAAGUCUCUCCCACCCCGCCGCCUCCACUACCCAGCAGGGGGAAAAAAAGAGAAGAAGAAAGAAAGAAAGAAACGGGAAAAAAGUAGUUGCGCCGGGCUCUCUCGCGGGGCCGCGCGCGGAGCUGCUCGAUUUCCCUCUCUAGGCAGAAGGGCCUUUCUUGCCCCUUCCCCCUGGCGGCUUGGGUCUAAUGUGCAAACUCCUCCUCCAAACCUUAGACCCUUCCAGCUCUAGAUCUCUCCCCACCUCCUAUCAAGCCCACCCGUCACUCCUUCCCCCACCCCACAACGCGAACACGCCCAAGGACAAUCACUCCCCAGCGAACUCGCUGCUCUCAGGGACCAGUACCCAGGACGCUGUGCGGGAGGUCAAGGACAGCGGAGUCAAGAGCCGGCGUCAGGUUAAAAAAAUCCAAAUUCCUACGAUUUGUUUGAGAAUUUGGUCAAACACCGAGAAGCACGGGCACUGCGCCUACCAGAUCAGGCCGAACCCGACGCAGAGCAAGGCUGCGGGGUCCGAGCGGAGAUGCUGUGCACGGACUGGCCUCCACACUUUGCCAGGACCUAGGCAAGCACAGGAAGAGUUUGUAUUGUUUUCCAACUGGGAGUUGGGGGGGGGGGGGUGUCCUGCACUGGUGGGUCUGUCUUUGCUUGCAAUCAACACGCCUUGU